AUGCUUAUUGCCCACAUGUGUUUUUUAUUGAACAAAUUUCUUUGGUGGCGGGAGCAAUCCUACCGCCAGAGGUUAUAACUAAACCAAACUUUAUUUACAGUCAAACUUGAUUUAUUAUUACAAUAGUCAAAACUUUCAACAACGGAUCUCUUGGUUCUCGCAUCGAUGAAAAACGCACCGAAAUGCGAUACGUAAUAUGAAUUGCAGAUAUUCGUGAAUCAUCGAAUCUUUGAACGCACAUUGCGCCCUUUGGUAUUCCAAAGGGCAUGCCUGUUUGAGCGUCAUUUCUCCCUCAAACCCCCGGGUUUGGUGUUGAGCAAUACGCUAGGUUUGUUUGAAAGAAUUUAACGUGGAAACUUAUUUUAAGCGACUUAGGUUUAUCCAAAAACGCUUAUUUUGCUAGUGGCCACCACAAUUUAUUUCAUAACUUUGACCUCAAAUCAGGUAGGACUACCCGCUGAACUUAAGCAUAUCAAUAAA
rnacentral:rRNA from 1 species